rnacentral:rRNA from 1 species
ACGUAGGGUGCAAGCGUUAAUCGGAAUUACUGGGCGUAAAGCGUGCGCAGGCGGUUUCGUAAGUCUGUCGUGAAAUCCCCGGGCUUAACCUGGGAAUGGCGAUGGAGACUGCGAGGCUAGAGUUUGGCAGAGGGGGGUAGAAUUCCACGUGUAGCAGUGAAAUGCGUAGAUAUCAGGAGGAAUACCGAUGGCGAAGGCAGGUCUCUGGGC